GACGAACGCUGGCGGCGUGCUUAACACAUGCAAGUCGAACGGUAAGGCCCUUCGGGGUACACGAGUGACGAACGGGUGAGUAACACGUGGGUAAUCUGCCCUGCACAUCGGGAUAAGCCUGGGAAACUGGGUCUAAUACCGAAUAGGACCACAGGACACAUGUCCUGUGGUGGAAAGCUUUUGCGGUGUGGGAUGGGCCCGCGGCCUAUCAGCUUGUUGGUGGGGUGAUGGCCUACCAAGGCGACGACGGGUAGCCGGCCUGAGAGGGUGUCCGGCCACACUGGGACUGAGAUACGGCCCAGACUCCUACGGGAGGCAGCAGUGGGGAAUAUUGCACAAUGGGCGAAAGCCUGAUGCAGCGACGCCGCGUGGGGGAUGACGGCCUUCGGGUUGUAAACCUCUUUCACCAUCGACGAAGGUCCGGGUUUUCUCGGGCUGACGGUAGGUGGAGAAGAAGCACCGGCCAACUACGUG
rnacentral:rRNA from 1 species